GACGAACGCUGGCGGCGUGCUUAACACAUGCAAGUCGAGCGGUAAGGCCCUUUCGGGGGUACGACGAGCGGCGAACGGGUGAGUAACACGUGGGUGACCUGCCCUCAGCUCUGGGGAUAAGCCCGGGAAACUGGGUCUAAUACCGGAUAUGACUCCAUGACGCAUGUUGUGGGGUGGAAAGCCUUGUGCGGCUGAGGAUGGGCCCGCGGCCUAUCAGCUUGUUGGUGGGGUGAUGGCCUACCAAGGCGACGACGGGUAGCCGGCCUGAGAGGGCGACCGGCCACACUGGGACUGAGACACGGCCCAGACUCCUACGGGAGGCAGCAGUGGGGAAUCUUGCGCAAUGGGCGAAAGCCUGACGCAGCGACGCCGCGUGAGGGAUGACGGCCUGGUGUAAC
rnacentral:rRNA from 1 species